CGAGCCCGAUUAUGGUGACGAAGCAGAGAGACCUCUGUGCAGAGGUGAAAGGUGUUUGUAGAGAGAAGUGAAGUGCAGAGGUGGAGGUGAAAGGUGUUUGUAGAGAGAAGUGAAGUGCAGAGGUGAAAGGUGUUUGUAGAGAGAAGUGAAGUAUUGUUUGUAUAUAUAUACAGGAGGGAAACAAUUUUAGGCUCUGUUUUCAGUUA